rnacentral:rRNA from 1 species
UACGAAGGGGGCUAGCGUUGCUCGGAAUGACUGGGCGUAAAGGGCGCGUAGGCGGUUCGUACAGUUGGAUGUGAAAUUCCCGGGCUCAACCUGGGGGCUGCAUUCAAUACGUGCGGGCUGAGUUCGGAAGAGGGUCGUGGAAUUCCCAGUGUAGAGGUGAAAUUCGUAGAUAUUGGGAAGAACACCGGUGGCGAAGGCGGCUCACUGGCUCGGUUUCUGACGCUCAGGCGCGACAGC